CAGGGAAUCUUGCGCAAUGGGCGAAAGCCUGACGCAGCAACGCCGCGUGGGGGAUGAAGGCCUUCGGGUUGUAAACCCCUUUCAGGAGGGAAGAAAUUGACGGUACCUCCAGAAGAAGGACCGGCCAACUACGUGCCAGCAGCCGCGGUAAUACGGAGGAGGCAAGCGUUAUCCGGAAUCAUUGGGCGUAAAGCGUUCGCAGGCGGCGAUUCAAGUCUGCUGUCAAAGCCCGCAGCUCAACUGCGGACAGGCAGUGGAAACUGAAUCGCUAGAGUGCGGCAGGGGUAGAGGGAAUUCCCGGUGUAGCGGUGAAAUGCGUAGAUAUCGGGAAGAACACCAGUGGCGAAAGCGCUCUACUGGGCCGCAACUGACGCUCAGGGACGAAAGCUAGGGGAGCGAAAGGGAUUAGAUACCCCCGUAGUCC
rnacentral:rRNA from 1 species